rnacentral:miRNA from 1 species
UAUACCCUCUGCAGUGGCUGC